GUGAAAUUCAACUGCAACA
rnacentral:siRNA from 1 species